GCCGCCCCUAGAAUUCCUUCGUCUCAAACUCUCUCUAACCCCUCCAAAACCUUAGCCUUCUCCCACCGGCUUCCACUAUGUUACACCGGAAUCCAUGGCAUCCCUAGGCCCUGGGUGGCCUGUACUCACCUCCAUGUGCUCUUGUACACCUGCUAUUGGAAGAUUCAAGGUCUGACCUUGAAUGUUUUUGCUCAGAUCGUCGUCGAUUCAAGUUCCAUGGCCAUCUCCAGCAUGGCAUGGUCCUAUGAGUCUAUCUAUGGCUCACCUAGCUUAGAGCAGACCCUUUUUCAUGCCUUUCUCACUUCUAGGGUUCUUCUGAAACCCUAGCCCUUCAAGGUUUUCCUAUAUUUCUCUAGAUCCGCUCUAUAUCCAUGCUUGCUAUAAGGUUUUCAAAACGAUUUUCUUAAUUCUCUUUCAAAAGUUUGCUUUCAAAACUAUUCAUCUUCUCCGAUUUAGGGUUUCUUUGAUUUUACUUGUUCUACAGUGAUUUUAUGAAGUGUUUUUACUGUAUUUGUCCUACUGUGACUCUUGUUUGUUUCUACUUUGACUCCUGUAUGUUUUCUCAUACUAUGUUUCCUCCUAAUAUUUCCUUGGGUUUUCUUUUAUUGUGUUUUCCUUCAGCAUGUUUUCACGGAACGAUUAAGUUCCUUUGGGUUUCUCUGAGUUUGCUCUUGCCUGAUUUGUUCAUUUUCGUUCCUACGCUGGAAUAAUGACGAAAACCCUAGAAUUUGGGGGUUUUUCAGACCAUGUGUAUAUGACUUGCACAUCUUCAACUCUGAACUAAUUUGAUUAAAUUUCUCUAUUUUUCAUAUGGUUCUGACCUUUUUGCCAAAAAAAUUUCUACACUAGAUUUUCCUACCGAUUCUUUACAAUGAUAGUACAGCCUUCUUUCAUGUUUGACGUGUUCAUAUGUUCCUUAUAUACUAUGAAUUUCCCCCUAAAGUGGUUUUUCAAAUUUUCCAUUAGUUCAAAAUUUCUUUUGAAUAUAAUUUGAUUGAUUUCUUUCCAUUUUUUUGCAUGUGACUCGACCUAAGUAAAACCUUCCUCUUUUUUUCAGACUUAAUUCAUUCAUAUAACACUCUCAGACCUUUGAUUUACUGUUUUUUAAUUAGUCUUCCUACCUUAUUUGCACAAACCGUGUAUUUUUAAAAACUUUUCCUUAAAUAACUUUUAUGUAUUCACCCUUAUUUAUAUACUAUGCACAUGUUGUUUAUUUGAUCCCCUUUACUUAAAUAUUUUUCGUCCCUUACUCAUAAAAUUGGGAUUCCUUAAUAAAGGAACAUCUGUUAAUUGAUUGAUCUUAAUUGAUACUCGACUAAUUUUCUUUCCUAGCUUGCAUGUCUGAUUUCAAGUAUAAAUACAUGCUCUUCUUUUCACUUCAUCAUUGAAUUCUGACUGCAAAUCAAAUAUCAGAAUUCACCUCUCUGUCUUCUUUACUACUACUAUUACUACUCUCUAUUUCUCUACACUAUUACUGAGCAUUCUACAUCUAUACUUCUUGUUGUCUGAACUUCUAAGCACUUGGGGAGUUUUCUUGAGUCUAUUCCUGUUGUUCCUGGCUUUUGUUUGCUAUUACUAUCCUGCUAGUCUAGAAUUUACAACUGGUAUGUUCUUCUAUGUUAAAUAGCAUCCCUGUUCAACUUCUCUGUUUUUAUCCCUCUUUCUUUGUGUGUCUAUUUAUGCUUUCCUGCACUAUGUAAUUACCUUCGAGCAUGUUAUGUCUCUUAUGUUAUAUUUAAUCCAUUUCCCUCUAUUCCCUUUGCAUGUGAGUAUUGUCCUGGGUCGUAGCAGCAUCAUGAAUUGUUGUCUGUGAUCCAAAACUAGACUUUUCUGAGUCUUUACUUGAUUUCUUUCCCAUUCCCUUUCCCCUCAAUGUGCUGAGCUCUAAUUUGGGUAUGUUGGUGUCCUGAUCACCAUUCAGACCUAAGUUUGACUCUAUAAAAGUCUGCUCUUAUUUGUUUGAAUCUGAGCAAGAGGUUAGGAGUGUGCCAGUCUAUGCCAUGGCUGGGUAUGACCACCUCCUGCUAAGGUUCCCCUCUCACUUUACACCUACUCCUAGCUCUUAAGUUCUACCCCCCUCCGGUAAGCCAUGCUUAGGGACCCUAGAGCUCCAUCUAAACUUGGAUGCCUAAGGGCUGGUAAUUCCACACAUUGCACUACUUUGUUACAACAUUCACUCUUUAGGUGUAAGCAUUUCCUGGGCUCUUGAAGCUCCUUGUAACUUUGAAAUGCUCUAAGAGAAGGCCUUGGAAUCUGGAACCCGGAUUUGGUAAAACACAUGUAUCAGAUAUCAAGAUUGCAUUAGGCAGUUUGGAUCUAGCUGUGGGCUAUGAUGUAUUUUAUUUUUAC
rnacentral:lncRNA from 1 species